rnacentral:tRNA from 1 species
GGGAAUGUGGCUUAGUGGUAGAGUGCUUGCCUGGCAUGCAUCAAGCCUGGGUUCGAUUCCUCAGUACCA